GUGCCAGCCGCCGCGGUAAUACGGAGGGUGCAAGCGUUAAUCGGAAUUACUGGGCGUAAAGCGCACGCAGGCGGUCUGUUAAGUCAGAUGUGAAAUCCCCGGGCUUAACCUGGGAACUGCAUUUGAAACUGGCAGGCUUGAGUCUCGUAGAGGGGGGUAGAAUUCCAGGUGUAGCGGUGAAAUGCGUAGAGAUCUGGAGGAAUACCGGUGGCGAAGGCGGCCCCCUGGACGAAGACUGACGCUCAGGUGCGAAAGCGUGGGGAGCAAACAGGAUUAGAUACCCUAGUAGUCC
rnacentral:rRNA from 1 species